rnacentral:rRNA from 1 species
GAUGAACGCUGGCGGCACGCUUAACACAUGCAAGUCGAGCGGGGCACUUCGGUGCCUAGCGGCGGACGGGUGCGUAACGCGUGGGUAACCUGCCCUAUACAGGGGGAUAACGUAUAGAAAUGUACGCUAAUACCGCAUAAGCUCACAGAGUCGCAUGGCUCAGUGGGAAAAACUCCGGUGGUAUAGGAUGGGCCCGCGUCUGAUUAGCUAGUUGGAGAGGUAACGGCUCGCCAAGGCGACGAUCAGUAGCCGACCUGAGAGGGUGAUCGGCCACAUUGGGACUGAGACACGGCCCAAACUCCUACGGGAGGCAGCAGUGGGGAAUAUUGGGCAAUGGGGGAAACCCUGACCCAGCAACGCCGCGUGGAGGAAGAAGGUUUUCGGAUCGUAAACUCCUGUCCCUCAGGGAAGAGCAGAAGACGGUACCUGAGGAGGAAGCCCCGGCUAACUACGUG